rnacentral:tRNA from 1 species
CUUGUAGCCCAGUUGGAUAGAGCGUUUGGCUACGAACCAAAAGGUCGGGGGUUCGAAUCCCUCCAAG